GUGGGGAAUAUUGGACAAUGGGCGCAAGCCUGAUCCAGCCAUGCCGCGUGAGUGAUGAAGGCCUUAGGGUUGUAAAGCUCUUUUAGCAGGGACGAUAAUGACGGUACCUGCAGAAAAAGCCCCGGCCAACUUCGUGCCAGCAGCCGCGGUAAUACGAAGGGGGCUAGCGUUGCUCGGAAUCACUGGGCGUAAAGCGCACGUAGGUGGGUCGUUAAGUCGGGGGUGAAAUCCCAGAGCUCAACUCUGGAACUGCCUUCGAUACUGGCGACCUUCGAGUUCGGGAGAGGUGAGUGGAACUGCGAGUGUAGAGGUGAAAUUCGUAGAUAUUCGCAAGAACACCAGUGGCGAAGGCGGCUCACUGGCCCGAUACUGACACUGAGGUGCGAAAGCGUGGGGAGCAAACAGGAUUAGAUACCCCGGUAGUCC
rnacentral:rRNA from 1 species